GACAGAGGGUGCAAACGUUGUUCGGAAUUACUGGGCGUAAAGCGAGUGUAGGCGGUUUGGUAAGUCGGAUGUGAAAGCCCCGGGCUCAACCCGGGAAGUGCACUCGAUACUGCCAAGCUGGAGUAUCGGAGAGGUUGGUGGAAUUCUCGGUGUAGAGGUGAAAUUCGUAGAUAUCGAGAGGAACACCGGUGGCGAAGGCGGCCAACUGGACGAAUACUGACGCUGAGACUCGAAAGCGUGGGGAGCAAACAGG
rnacentral:rRNA from 1 species